rnacentral:rRNA from 1 species
AUUGAACGCUGGCGGCAGGCCUAACACAUGCAAGUCGAACGGAGUGGCGGACGGGUGAGUAACGCGUAGGUAACUGCCUCAUAGCGGGGGAUAACUAUUGGAAACGAUAGCUAAUACCGCAUAAUGUGAGAUGGACCUGGGUUGUAUUAGCUAGUUGGUGAGGUAAAGGCUCACCAAGGCGACGAUACAUAGCCGACCUGAGGGGGUGAUCGGCCACACUGGGACUGAGACACGGCCCAGACUCCUACGGGAGGCAGCAGUGGGGAAUCUUCGGCAAUGGACGGAAGUCUGACCGAGCAACGCCGCGUGAAUGAAGAAGGUUUUCGGGUCGUAAAGCUCUGUUGUUAGAGAAGCGGUAACUAAGCAGAAAGGCACGGCUAACUACUUGCCAGCAGCCGCGGUAAAA